rnacentral:rRNA from 1 species
AACGAACGCUGGCGGCAUGCCUAACACAUGCAAGUCGAACGAGACCUUCGGGUCUAGUGGCGCACGGGUGCGUAACGCGUGGGAACCUGCCCUUAGGUUCGGAAUAACUCCCCGAAAGGGGUGCUAAUACCGGAUAAUGUCUUCGGACCAAAGAUUUAUCGCCUUUGGAUGGGCCCGCGUUGGAUUAGCUAGUUGGUAGGGUAUAAGCCUACCAAGGCGACGAUCCAUAGCUGGUCUGAGAGGAUGAUCAGCCACACUGGGACUGAGACACGGCCCAGACUCCUACGGGAGGCAGCAGUGGGGAAUAUGGGACAAUGGGCGAAAGCCUGAUCCAGCAAUGCCGCGUGAGUGAUGAAGGCCUUAGGGUUGUAAAGCUCUUUUACCCGGGAUGAUAAUGACAGUACCGGGAGAAUAAGCUCCGGCUAACUCCGU